rnacentral:misc_RNA from 1 species
UUUCCGUAGGUGAAUCUGCGGAAGGAUCAUUAUUGUAUAACCGAGGUGCGAGGGCUGUCGCUGACCCGAAAGGUCGUGCACGCCCGAGUGCCCUCACACACAUCCAUCUCACCCCUAUGUGCACCACCGCGUGGGUUCCCCUUUGGCUUGUUCGGAGGGGGGCUUACGUUUUCACACAAACUUUGUAUGCAGUGUAGAAUGUAUUUUUUGUUUUUGCGAUCACGCAAUCAAUACAACUUUCAACAACGGAUCUCUUGGCUCUC